UUCAAAAAAUAGUAACGGAGAAAAGAGAAACUGGUCUCGACUCUGUUUGUUUGGUGUGGUACCGCAGCAAGCUCGGAGUGUGUGAAGGCUGUAAUUCAUGAGAAAGUGUCGGUUGCUCAGACGUGGAGGAAAUGAGUGUUUUGAGAUUUAAACGUUCCUUUAAGAUUAGCUUCGAAAACCGGACAUUGUAACCACACACGCACAUGCAGACAGAGUUGAUUUCAGAAGGUGAGCGCCCUUCCUGGGACGGACGGACGGAUGGACGGACGGACAUCGCCACGACAUAAUCCCCUUUCGGGCCUUUCAACCAGCAGGGGAUAAAAAUUGCGAGGGAAGUUGAUUUCAGAAAGCAAGCGCACCUUCAUGAAAUUUCCAAGGCUGAGCAGAUGUGAGCGAACGUGGUCCAGGAGAUUAUGAACACUGAGCGUGUCGGAGAUACCUGUGAGGAAAGAUAUAGCAACAUAUAAUCACUUUUUACAACCGUGGUGAGCAGAAAAGCAUCUCAGCAUGCAACAGCAGAAAAGACCACCACAUGGGGUUCUACUUCUGCAGCCAAGAACAGGAAUCUUAGAAUCAAGAACAAGUUCCUAUUAAAGUGGCCGGUGAGUGCAUUUAUUUAUUUAUUUAUUUAUUUAGAGCUUUUUGCCCAUCAUAAAAUAAUUCCUGGGACACUGUUGGACAUCCCCCUGAUUCGCCGCCCAACUUCCGCUGGGCUUUAUUACAAUUAUUACAACAUUAAAAUACAUUUAAAAUCACACUAUUAUACAACAGAGUGUACACAUUUUGGAAACUAUUGUUUUAUAUCGGAGCUUAAAAACAAAAAAGGUGCAAAGGCCACACCUACAAGCAACAACAAUCUGAAUCUGGCUAAAAAAAAAGGUCAAAAGGUUUCUAAAAGCUCGCUAUGUGAGAAUAUCAUGCUUUUGAUAGAUAGAUAGAUAGAUAGAUAGAUAGAUAGAUAGAUAGAUAGAUAGAUAGAUAGAUAGAUAGAUAGAUAACUUUAUUGUCAUUCACCUGUACAUUUAAAAUGCACAUUUGAACGAAAUUUCGUUCCUUUGGCUUACAUCGAUACAACUGCCGUGUAUAAUUAUUGCACAUAAUCCAGUAACCAAAAAUACUAAAUUUGCAAGUAAAUACUUAAAAAAUAAAUAAAUACAUAAAAAAAUGUUUUUUUAAAUCUUUAAUCAGGUUGUUGUAAAGCUACAUGCCGUAAUCAGUUCUCCCUUUCGGAUGUAAGCAGAGUUUAAAAUGCUAGAACUUUAAAAAUGAUCUGUGCCGAGUUUCCCAAAAGCAUCGUAGCGCAAAGACCAUCGUUAAAUGGUAGAGCGAGCAGCACAAUGAACACUCUCUCUCCUUGUUAAGAUGCUCUUAGCGUUAAGAGGCUUUUGGGAAACCCAUCAAAAAGUCAAAGUCCUUCCCGCACCAUUCAUGGCGCGUUUGGCGGCGCCGAUCUCCGUUUCGUAGCCCUCGGCCUCUCGCCUAUAUUGCAUAGCUAGGGUUACAGGGAAACCCAUCACUCUUGUUUUAACUUAAGAAAGUUAGUAACUGGGCCACAUUAAAAUUCAUAUCGUAAGUUACGCACAAUGAGGCAAUCAAAUCAAUUUAACUUACUAGAUGACAUCCAUGCAAAAGGAAAAUGUGUCGUUUCCGGAAAUGUCCACUCUGGAGGUGAUCCGUGGUAAUAAUAAGAAAAGGUACCAGGUGUGAGAUGUGAUGUGUGUGUGUGUGUGUGUCGUGGGCACCUUUCGCCUGUGCAGCGGAGCUGUGAGAGUAUCCGAGCGAGAGGAGCGCCAUCUCGAUCAGCUGGUUGAACAGCAUGUCCUUUCUGACCAGCACGAACUCGGCGUGCUCUUCCCUGCUGUCGAAGUCUAUCGGGUUCUCGUAGUGCUCGACCACGCAGAACACGGGCAGCAUGUUACCUGGGAACCAUGACGCACAUGACAACAUCGAGAACACUGUCACCUACGAGAGCAUGAGCAUGCUUUAUUCCUUUUAUGCCACAGACAUUUUCCAACAAUCAGCCUACAGUCUUUAUUUAUUAAAUAAUAAAUGUUAGUUUUUUGUCGCGACGUUUCAUGUUUCAUAUCAACGUCCACGAAAAAUCGGACCCCCGUUUUACAGCGCAGCCGUGACGACAGAAAGAUAACGCGUUCGAACGGGUGCAUUGAUACAAACCUGUGACUUGCGGCUGCGCUAGUGUCAGAGCUGCUCUGAGAGAAGAGGAAUCAAUAUGGACCUUCUGACCAAUCAGAAUCCAGAAUUCAAUAAUAAUAAUAAUAAUACAUUAAAAUAAGUGCUUUCUACCUUCUGCAAAACAGGCUAUUAAAUAAUCAAGAUUAUUCUAUCCACAUUCACUGGAUAUGAGCAAUCGCACACUCUGAUUGGCUACUCUGCUACUAGGAUAUCAGCUCAUAUACCGUGAGUAGAGAAAAACAAAAUGGCGGAGUGUGUUGCUGAACCAACCGAGGAUGAAAUGAAAACGACUCGAAAACAAAACCCCGAAAAAUACAAAAAAAGCAACAAAAUAUGGAAUAAAAGUAUUUUAAGGUAUGAACGUAUCUUUUUUUGUAUUUUUCAAAAAUUAUUAUUGUUAUCGCAUUUUUCACAAAUUGUUCCUGUCAUUUCGUCGGUUUGUUUCCAUUCUGAGCAGAAAUUAUUUUGUUGGACGUUUUGUAUAAAAAGUUUUUUUUAUUCAUCGAAUUUGCAAAAAAUACAAAUAAAAAUGCUCUGUUUCUCAAAAUGCAGUGAAUGUGGAUAGAAUAAAACAGUUAUUCCACUCAGUCUCGGUGCUGCGCGUCUCGCCGGCUUUCGGCUCAUGUACGAUUCGAUUUCGUGGAAUAACUGUUAAUUAUAAAACGUCCAUAGCUCUCAUACCAAUGUUAUACAUGUUACAACCACACCACAAUAAACCACAUACCUUCCUGUGCAUUCCAUCCCUGACUCCAUUUUCCCAAAAUGCUUUGCAGCACCUCUUUACAUACUAUACAGCCUGAAGGCUUACAAGUCUGUGUAAACACAGCACUCCUGUGCUAUUAAGGAAAAAAGGAAAAAAGAAAAUAGAAAAAAAAAAAGACGAAUCCCUGUCCAAAGCCGUCAUGUGUUCGGGUUUACUCUGCAAAUAUCACUUAAUGCCAGCCAGCUGAAACACUCUGGCGCUGAAAUUUGGAGAAACUCAGGCUAAUAUUAAAGCAGCAUAUCAUCAUAAAGUUCCCUGAAGCCUGAAGCCUGAAGCCUGACCUCCCCGAGGAUGCUAAUGUCCUCUGGCAAACCAUCAACAAAUCGGUUAGUGUGCCGAUUCCCAAAACAAUGUGCUGAAGGAGGCGUUUUAACAGAUAAAGAUCUAACAAUAAAGAAUGCUGUGUAGGUUCGUUCCGGGAUCAAUCCCAGCUUUGUUUUCCGCCGCCGCGGAGUUCCAGCCCGUGCUGAAUAUUAUUCAAGGGGGACGGAACAAUGCCUGGUACGACGGCCAAGUCCAGCGAACUCUUGUCGGAAGUAUUCCUAAAUGAGGACGAGGAGAAUUAUGUCACCAAUUACGUACGAAGGAAUUGGUGUUGCGCUGAUUGGUCAGAUUCUCCAAUCUGAUUGGUCAGCAGCUCUGACCUGACCAGCUCAUAUUAGAAGUAUGAUAAUGUGCUUAAUGUGCUUUUUUUUUAUAAACAUUAUCGUUUCUAUAGUAACAGCUUCACGUUGUAUAAUCUACAAUUAAUAAAGAUGAUGUUAUUAAUGUUAAGCAUCCAGCCAGAGCAGGUCAUGAUAUAUUUUACCAUAUUAACAUGCCAUUGUUGUGUGUUAUGCCUGAUGUAAAGACUCUCGUCUCUGCGAGCCUACCACACAGAUUUAAUACUUGUCAUUUUUAGGGCAUACCUAACAACGUGUUUUCUUUCUCUCCCCCCCCCCCCCCCAAUCUGUCCCUCUGAGUUACAUGUUGAUCCUGGGAUUGAGAUGCUGGCCUCUUCUGCCCCUCGGACCUGCUUGGUCCAUCCUGGUGCCCUGUGUCUGGUCGGAGUUUUAUCGCACCGCUCCUGUGAAGGAC